rnacentral:tRNA from 1 species
ACCGCGGCUGCCUGGAGGCCGUGGCCUCCGACGCGGCGAUCACCGCCCGGGUCCGUGAGGUGACCGGCGUCCCGGUCGCCGACGCGGCG